AGGGCGAUGUAUUCUUAUUCCCUGGUCCUCCCUUCACUUUCUCUGCCCUCUGGCUGCUGUGGGUUGAACACUUUUGUCUUCAUUGUGCAUUUCUGCCAUCUGGAGCGAGCUUUAGAGGCUGCUGAAAUUCCCUGGCUCAGAGCUCUCUUCCAUCCCCAAGUCCAGCAGUGAAGGGCCAGUUGUGUUUCUCAUCAUGUCAUCCUAAGUUCUGAUUUUUUGGGCUUCCCACCCCCAUUUAGGAAUCUUGUGAUUACACUGUGUCAUCAGAUAAUCCAGAAUAAUAUCCCUAAAGGGCUUUAGGACUUGACUUUUGUGGCACCAGAAGAACUGCUACUUGUGGGAACAAAGCACUGAAGGACUUCAUCAUCUUACAUAUCCUUUGAAAGAUGCGGGGUGAGAACUCCAAUAGAGGUACCUGCUAUGAUCAUCGAAGCAACAUGGGGACCAAACGCAAGCCAGAAGGGGCAGGUAAAGCUAUGGUCAUCCAAUCUACAUGGAGACCAAAGUGCAAGCCAGAAGGCGAAGGUGAAUGAGUUCCCACAAGGUCAUCUGUGAUUCUGAAGUUCUUAAUGUAACUUGUUUGUAUCUCAGAACCUCCUAGGGGGAAACAGAUUAUCAGGUCAUAUGAAAUCAGUCUUAAUGACUGUAAUGAUUAAUUUUAUGUGUCAACUUGACAGGAGGAUGUAUACAGGUUAUCUGCAAAUAUAUGCCACUUUGUACCAGGGAUUUGCACAUCUGUGGAUUUUUAUAUCCAUGGGAAGGAGUUUCUGGAAUCAAACCAUCACAGAUACCAGGAAGACUGCUUAUAUAAAUAUGACUGGUCCACAUGGAAUAGCUGGGACUUGAAAGAGCUCAAGUUGUACGGCAAGCAAAGGAACUCAUCUGAUGGAAACGUAUCAUGCAGACUUCUAGAGGGACGGGCCAGUUCGUAGAGAACAUUUAUAUCUUAGAACAACUUGGCAUUAGACUAGGAGCAAAUGACACUCGUUUUUGUUUUUUUUUUUGUUUUUUUUUUUUUUUAACUGCUAGAGAAUACCUGGUAAAUUUUGGAAGGGGCUCUUACUUUGCAGGAAGAGUGUGAUGACUAGUAAUAAAUAAAUCAACAGACUAAGAAAAGGCUGCUAGAAAUUGUAGGAAGCAUGGGAUACUCCUCAGUCCUUCCCCACUGAAUGUUUACCAUAAAUGAUAAUGCUCAAAGGGCCAAGCAGUAAUGUGAGAAAAUGUUUAUAAUCAAAUACCAGGGAAGGAAUAUAAGUUGUUAUGUUCAUGUAAAAGUAGGCCUAGGAAAGUAUGAGAAAUACUGACAACAAAACAAUGGUGGCCGUGCUAAGACAGUGAGACCGCAGCUAAUUUGUCUGCUUAUAAAAGCAAAAGCAGCUGCAUGGUUACACUUUAUUGAACAUUUAGCAGAUGCCUGGUGCUGCAUGCAGCAUGUUGUAGGGAUUAUCUUAUUUAAUCUUCUUAAUAACUCUAUGAGCUAGGUGCUCAGUAGGGGAACGAAGCUGAUGAAACUGGCUGAAAGGUUAAAUAGUUUCCUCAAAGUUACACAGCUAAUGUAUUUCAUCAGAACAGGAUCAUUUAUGCUGUGGUCACAAAACUCCCACUGUCAGUGAUUUGAGAAGGCGAAAGGUUCCUCUCUCACGCAUGUCUCCCUCUGAUGUGGCUCAGACGUCUCUCUCUCACCGAUGGCUCUACAUGAAUGGCAACUUCAGGAUCACAAGUGUCCCUGUCUGGUAACUGUCCUGUCAAAGUUCUUAGGUCCUGCCGUGCUCACUAUAGUGUGGAGAACUGCGCUCCUUCUCCCCAGACUUUUGGUCACAUUCUCAUUGGUCAAAAUGUUAUCACAUGGUCAAAACGUUAUCACAUGGUCUCAACCUAAACAGAAAGGAGACACGGAGAAGUAGUGUUCCAGUGCACAAGGCGCUGUGGUCGGGGUUCCCCGGGAGUGACCGAACUUGAACCUGAACUGAGCACCCUGACUCCAGCAUCUGCCGGCAGGCCCCUGAGGACAAUAUCUUAUUACUGCUCCUUCUGCUGAUAUUCUCUUAGAACUGUCUGGAGGGUUUGCACUAGAAUCAAA